rnacentral:rRNA from 1 species
AAUCAACGCUGGCGGCGUGCCUAACACAUGCAAGUCGCACGGGCAGGGGAAACUCUGUCAGUGGCGGACGGGUGAGUAACGCGUAGGUAUCUAUCCUUGGGUGGGGACAACUGUGGGAAACUACAGCUAAUACCGCAUGAUAACUGAGGUUUAAAGGUACGCAAGUCGCCUGGGGAGGAGCCUGCGUACGAUUAGCUAGUUGGUGGGGUAAAGGCCUACCAAGGCUACGAUCGUAGUCUGGUCUGAGAGGAUGAUCAGCCACAUUGGGACUGAGACACGGCCCAAACUCCUACGGGAGGCAGCAGUGGGGAAUAUUGGACAAUGGGCGAAAGCCUGAUCCAGCAAUGCCGCGUGUGUGAAGAA